ACGAACGCUGGCAGCGUGCCUAAAACAUGCAAGUCGAACGAGGGUAGCAAUACCUAGUGGCGAACGGCGGAGUAAGACGUAAGCAACGUGCCCUUAAGAUCUGGGAUAUCCAGGUGAAAGCCCUGAGUAAUACCGGAUACGUGCAACGAGAGGGCAUCCUUCUCGGUGACUAAAUGGUUUUUCGCUUCAGGGAGCGGUUACGGACCUAUCAGCUAGUUGGUGGAGGUAACGGCCCUACCAAGGCAACGACGGGUAGGGGGUCUGAGAGGAUGAUCCCCCCGAGUGGGACUGAGACACGGCCCACACACCUACGGGUGGCAGCAGUUGGGAAUCUUGCACAAUGGGGGAAACCCUGAUGCAGCGACGCCGCGUGGAGGACGAAGGAUCUAGGCUCGUGAAACUCCUUUUUGCAGGAAAGACUUAGGACGGUACCCUGAGAAUAAGCUCCGGCUAACUACGUGCCAGCAGCCGCGGUAAUACGUAGGGUGCGAGCGUUGUCCGGAUUUACUGGGCGUAAAGGAGCGCGUAGGCGGUCUGCUUAAGCAUGAAGCUGAAAUCUCCCGGGCUCAACCGGGAAACCGAUUGUCGCAUACUGAUGGCUGGAGUGAAGGCAGAGGUGGAGUGGAAUUCCCGGUGUAGCGGUGAAAUGCAUUGAUAUCGGGAGGAAUACCCAUGGCGAAGGCAGGUCCACUGGGCAUCACUGACGCUGAGGCGCGAAAGCGUGGGUAGCAAACAGGAUUAGAUACCUCUGGUAGUCCACGCCCUAAACGAUGGAUGCUAGGCGUGAGGGGUAUCGACCCCCCUUGUGCCGCAGCUAACGCACUAAGCAUCCCGCCUGGGGAGCUACGGCCGCAAGGUUGAAACUCAAAUGAAUUGACGGGGACCCGCACAAGCGGUGGAGCAUGUGGAUUAAUUCGAUACUAACCGAAGAACCUUACCCAGGUUUGACAUCGAGUGCAAAGACUAUGAAAGUAGUCCCCUACCCACAAGGUACCCGAAGACACAUGUUGCAUGGCUGUCGUCAGCUCGUGCCGUGAGGUGUAUCGGUUAAGUCCAGCCAACGAGCGCAACCCCUCGUCCUAUGUUAGCCAGCGAGGUAAUGCGGGCACUCGUAGGAGACCGCCGGUGUAAGCCGGAGGAAGGUGGGGAUGACGUCAAGUCAGCAUGGCGGUUACGCCUGGGGCUUCACACAUGCUACAAUGGGCGCAACAAAGGGCAGCGAUAUCGUGAGAUGGAGCUAAUCCCAAAAAUACGUCCCUCAGUUCAGAUAGGCAGUCUGCAACUCGACUGCAUGAAGGCGGAAUCGCUAGUAAACGCAGGUCAGCUAUACUGCGUUGAAUACGUUCCCGGGUCUUGUACACACCGCCCGUCAAGUCACCUGAAUCGUCUGCACCCGAAGUCCGUGGCCUAACCGCAAGGAAGGAGCGGCCGAAGGUGAGGGGGGUAAGGGGGACU
rnacentral:rRNA from 1 species